CGUUACUCAUCUUAGUGUUUAUAUUGUCUUUGGUAUAACAAUAAUAAAUCGAAUCGAAUCGUCAAUUGCUUACUGUAUGAAUACAUGAAUCUGCCCUGUAGUUUUGAUGGCGUCUGAUGGAUCACCAUUCGUUAGAUGGCCCAUUGUUAUGGCGAAAUGGAAAGCUACCCGAGUCUGACUACCGUGCUCUCUGGUAAAGUAAGUAAAGGCGACGGAGGUUGAUUCAGGCCCAUUAGGUGGCAUACAAGGCGGAGAUAUUGCUAAGGAGCUCGUCUAAGGCUGUCCUGGAUCCUCAAUCAGGAUCCUAUUUGGAAAAUAAGGUGAAUCUAUAUUGACCCUUUUUGUUGGCAUUUCAUCUAUUUUGUUAUUUAUUUUUGAGACUUAGCUGUUCAUGUUGUUCUAGGGAUAGGAUCGGUCCUUAGAAACGUGAGCCAGCCCGCGCGGACCAAAGGGAAAUUAGCACGUCCGCAGUAGCGCCAGACCUGUCAUACUGCAUGCCCCAAUAGUGCCCACAAGUGCGACAGAAGCCCAAUAGCCUUCAGAAUAGCGCUUCUUGUUUGCCGUUCGUCAGUCGAACUGACAAGCUGAGUUUUUGACGAAUGCUUAAAUGUUGUCCACUGUUGGCCUGUGGUAGGAUUUGUCCGGUAUCGCCGAAACCACAAAUGCAAGGCGCGCAUAGGAAGGUGCUUCCACCCCCAAGAGCAAGGUUCGUCAGGAGUCUUUAGACUAGGAAUUGGCACAGUACCAACAACCGAAAUUUCCGGGUAAAGGACCGAAGAACGGGUGACUUCACGCGCAAACAGUGGGACAGUGGGUUUGAUGGCAAGUACGCCAUGAAUCCUGUGAAGGACUUCGGUUUCCGAAUAGAUGUGCUUACAUAUCAGGAUCGUGGUUGUUACCUAUGUUGGGCGUUUCCAAUUGGCCGGCUAAGUGGACCAAUUUAGAAACUGCGCGCGCUGAUGAAUUGUAACGGUCGUGUUCACGUCGUGGUGAUAUUGCAUUUGCCUUUAUCGGCAACGUCAAUAUUCCAUUAUGUCUUAGUUGUGUUCGAUAUUAUCGGAUUAUUUAUUGUGGCAACGCCAGUCUUACGAUCCACUGUCCCGAGAGUGAAAAUUUAAGAGCGGAUCGGAUGCCCUUGGUAAUGACCUUGGCCUUCAUCUGGGGCGUUGACCAAAACAUGCAGCUGUGUAUAUGGGCAUGGUAUGCGUGUGCCGAAAUUUUGGCACCGAUGAUGUGGCUGCCUAAAUGUGAUAAGAGGAGUUCGACAUUGUCAGCGGUCAACAGAGGGCGUGCCGUCGUCUAGACCAAAAUUAAAACACUGUCUUACAUUCAAAAAUUCAAAGUAGAGCUAACAGAAAAAUACCAUCUUGGUUAAUAGAUAUAAAAUAACAGGCAUGCAAUAAAUUUUAAUAUAUAAAACUGCCUUUAAUGCCUUGUUGUACGGUAAAUUGUAUAUUUAGCUACAUUGCGUAUAUCACAAAGCAUCAAUGUAUAAAAAAGUAUUAAGGCCAGUUUUAAAAAUUCAAGCACACAACGCACGGUGUUAGACUCAAGAGUCUCGCUAAAUACUCAAAAAUAAGAUCGUAUGUGAGCAGAAAACGAUUUCGAUAUAUUUUUAACGCAAAAUACUCGCACAUGACCGUUGCAGAGAGAUCCUUGCGAAUAAAAUGCGUGAACAGUAGAGAGAAUGAUGUGCUGUUUUUGUUGUUGUUUCCUACUCAGCCCGUAAAAUAUGUGUUUCUUAGGAGUUCAAAAAUUCAUUUGUUCUUAUUUUUUAAGUAAACAGUGAGAAUUCGAUUUCUGUAGAGGUAAGUAAUUAACAAGUGCUUAUUAAUAACUUGACUCUUCCCUUUCAGUAUAUUUUUGAAUAUUAUAUACGAGUUUGCGGAGAGGCGCACAAGGCGACGCUGCCAAGUGCGCCAAAGGCAACACUUGGGGAUUUUAGCGCGUUUGAAGAAUUUCUCAAGGAGGAGAAGCCCUUCCAAACUUGAAAAGGAAACUAUAAAUUAAAUAAUUUAACUCCACACUUAUAAAUCUUACGAUACUUUCAUUAGGAGCUCCUAGCGCCAAAUAGUAACGAAUGAUUUUGCAAGACAAAGGAUAAAAAGUGUGUUAGAGGCCUUCUAACCAAAUUGGCAAUACGUAGUAGGCAUUACAUUUAUAAACUGUAUAUUUGCAAAUA